AAAAGAUUUAUGAACCAGGCCGGAGCGCCACGCUCCGCCACGUCGGCCGUACAUCCAGCCGGUUGCCUGGUUCCUUGCAUUGAAGCGAUGUACGGAGUCUAUAGAGC
rnacentral:ncRNA from 1 species